rnacentral:tRNA from 2 species
GGAGUAGUACUCAAGCGGUCGAAGAGGCGUGACUCGAAAUCUCGUAGGCCCUGCAAGGGGCGCCAGGGUUCAAAUCCCUGCUACUCCGCCA